GCCAUUACAUCGUUUUUCCGAAGUCGUUGAUACUCCGUCUCCGUCUCAAACCACUUUAAUGUAGUUUUUGGUAAUACGCGCGGUACAUUCUAAGCUUGAUCUGAUGCAAAUAAAUGUACAUACAUGGAGAAAGGGUGAUUUAUAUGUUGCUAAUUUCGAAACAAAACGGACAUUCAAACGGUGGAUACAGUGCAAAUAACUAAAAUAUCCUUGAAGAUGCUAAUAAAUUCUAAACUGGAAUAAUGUGAGAUUUCGUCUGUCUGGAAUAAAUGUCAGUUUUCUACGGUAUAGAUUAAGGAUUCUUCGUGGUCGUUGUAGAUGAAUCGAAACACGAACUGAACGAUUUAAGUUUUCCGCGGAUUUUUCAUUGGUUUUGAUGACCGUUGUGAAUUUUCCCAAUGGCGCAUGCACGGCUCAGCUGUGUGCAAUCGCGACCAAUUUACGUAGAAACAUAAUGUAUUUUAUAGUAUUUUUAUCCAAUUAGACGGAGUACUGGACACGGUAUUCGUGAUAUUAGGAAACAUGGACUGUCCAUCCAGUAUUGCAACAAUGCAUAAAUUGUGCUUGCAUUGCAUGUAGCCAUUUGUUUUGCAUUGCUUUUGAUGCAUGAGGAGGAACAACUCAUUUUUGAGGCAAAUUAUUCCUAGCUUCUAAUAGAAGAAAUGGAUGCAGUACGAGAUGAGGACAGGCGCAGGCGCCUGAGGGUGCUGGAGGAACGUAUAAAAGAUCCGAGAAGUGUUACAAAUAUUGAUUGCUUAUUGGAUACAGUCCAAGCUCUAGUGGCAGAUUGUGAGCAUCCUAGUGUAAAACGUAUGAAAAAUAUAGAAGCAUAUAUGAAUAGAUAUGACUCAGUGGCUCAGGAUAUUUGUAAAAUGCGAAUGCGUAUGGAUGACUUCACUCUGAUAAAAGUGAUAGGUCGUGGGGCAUUUGGGGAAGUACAGUUGGUACGUCACAAGUCUACGCAAAAAGUAUAUGCUAUGAAGUUACUCAGUAAAUUUGAAAUGAUUAAACGAUCGGAUUCAGCUUUUUUUUGGGAAGAACGUGAUAUAAUGGCACAUGCCAAUUCCCAAUGGAUAGUUCAACUUCAUUUUGCGUUUCAAGAUCAAAAGUAUCUUUAUAUGGUGAUGGACUAUAUGCCAGGUGGUGAUUUAGUAAAUUUAAUGUCGAACUAUGAUGUGCCAGAAAAAUGGGCAAAAUUUUAUUGCGCGGAAGUGGUGCUUGCGGUAGAUGCGAUACACCUUAUGGGAUUUGUUCACAGAGAUGUAAAGCCAGAUAAUAUGUUACUUGAUAAGCAUGGUCAUUUAAAACUUGCAGAUUUUGGCACUUGUAUGAGAAUGGAUGCUGAUGGACUUGUUCGGUCUGAUACAGCAGUAGGUACACCUGAUUAUAUAUCACCUGAAGUGCUCCAGUCUCAAGGUGGUGAAGGUGUAUAUGGAAGGGAAUGUGAUUGGUGGUCAGUUGGCGUGUUUUUGUAUGAAAUGCUCGUUGGUGAUGGUCCUUUUUAUGCAGAUUCAUUAGUUGAAACAUAUUCAAAGAUUAUGGAUCAUAGAAAUUCGUUACACUUUCCUCAAGAAGUUGAUAUUUCUCAUUCUGCCAAGAAUUUGAUACGCGGUUUUCUUACGGAUAGAACUAAGCGUUUGGGAAGAAAUGGCGUAGAUGAAAUAAAAAGUCAUCAUUUUUUCAAAAAUGAUCAGUGGACUUUUGAAAAUUUACGCGAAUGCGUGCCGCCAGUGGUACCAGAACUUUCUGGUGAUGAUGAUACCAGUAAUUUUGAUGACGUUGAUAAAGAAGAUGGUCCAGAGGAAAGUUUUCCAGUACCCAAAGCAUUUUCUGGAAAUCAUCUACCAUUUAUUGGUUUCACAUAUUCAGGAGAUUAUCAGUUAAUGGCUGCUAGUGGCAAAGAAUCGGUAGAUGGAUUAGAGAAUCAUAUCAAUAAUGGUACAACUGAUGAUAUUAAAAUUUCUCAAUUAGAAAAUUUAUUGGACCGAGAAAAAAGGCAAGUAGAGUCCUUGGAGUCGAGACAAAAAGCUUUGACGACCCAGUUAGAAGCUAUGACACGUCGGGAAACUGAAUUACGAGAAGAAAUAGGUAGAGCGGACAAAGAAUUGACUUUGCUGAGACAUAAUUACAAAGAAGCACAACGUAGGGUAGAACAUGAAACAGAUUUGCGCAGGAAGGCAGAGUCGUUAUUUGUAGAAUUAAAGAAGAAGUUUGACGAAGAGCAGACGAAAAGAGCACGCGAUGCGAGCAAUUCGCAACAAACUUCUGAACGUGUCACAACAUUAGAAAAACAAAUUAAAGAAAUGCAAUCAAAAUUGGAAAGAGAAACGGAAGCCGUAACGAGGUUACGGAAACAAGCUACAGAGAUUACCGUGGCUCGUCAAGCUGCAGAACAAAUGGCAAACGAGUUGCAGGUAGCGAGAGCACAGUUGCAGGCGCAACGAGAUAACUUGCAACAGGAAGUGGCAACACUACAAGGGCAAUUAUCAAAAGAGCGUAGUUCGCGGUCGCAAGCAUCGUCUUUAACAGUUGAAUUGGAAAACCGUCUUUCUGCUCUUCAUCUUGAACUCGAGCAUAGCCGCGAGAAAGAAGAAAAAGCUAUCAUGGAUAAUAGACAAUUAACUGAAAGAAUUUCGGCAUUGGAAAAAGAAGCUGCUAGUUUGACUCUUGAGUUGAAAGCUGCACAAGCUAGGUAUAAUCAAGAAGUGGUGGCUCAUCAAGAGACAGAACGUUUGCGUAUAUUAUCAAAAGAGGAAGCUAAUUUGGAAGUUGUUAAAGGGCGAAAGAAUAAAACGUUUGAAGCAAAACUAAACGAGGAGAAAAGUGGAAGGCAACGUGCUGAACUGCUUGCACAAGAAAAGGAACGGCAAACCUCUAUGCUUUCCGUGGAUUAUCGUCAGAUACAACAGCGAUUACAGAAACUGGAGGGUGAGCAUAGGCAAGAGGUAGAAAAGGUAAAAGUAUUACAGGGUCAGGUAGAACAGGAACAGCAGAAAAGAAACGUUCUGCAGACUGAAUUGGCACAGCAGUCAUCCGAAGCAGGACGACUACGUGCCAGGGAACAGCAGUUAGUUGGCGAGGUUGCUCAGCUGAGAGAAGCCAAACGACAAAUAGAAGAAGAAUUACAUCACUUGAAAACUCAAAGAAACGUGGAUCAGUUACAAACAAAGGAAUUACAAGAGCAGUUAGAAGCAGAAGCAUACUUUUCGACUCUUUAUAAAACACAGACACAAGAACUUCGAGAAGAGCUUGAGGAAAAAAUACGGUUACAGCAAGAGUUGGAAGAAGAACGCAGUUCUUUAGUUCAUCAGUUACAAUUAUCGUUAGCUAGAGGAGACAGUGAAGCUUUAGCAAGAUCAAUAGCCGAAGAAACUGUAGCAGACCUUGAAAAAGAACGAACAAUGAAAGAGUUGGAAUAUAAAGAUGGAGUAGCCAAACAUCAUCAAGAAUUAAAUACUAAGGAACAAAUGAUAAAUCGACUUAAAGACAGCGAAGUUGAACUUAAGAAGAAUGUUGAUCAGUACUUUAAGGAAAAGGAUGAUUUAAGUAAACGGCUUAAAGAAUUGCAAGACCAACUUACUAAAGCACAAUCUAAUGCUGAAGAAAUAGAAAAACUCAGUAGUAAACUGAAGACUGAGCAACUAUUGAAACAACAAGCGGUUAAUAAAUUAGCAGAGAUCAUGAACAGGAAAGACUUAUCUUCGAGUGGUAAGACUAAGAACAAAGCAUCCGCAGCAGAUUUAAGAAAGAAAGAGAAAGAUUACAGACGUUUGCAACAGGAGCUUACCCAAGAGAGGGAAAAAUACGGACAGCUGGCAGCUAAAUGGCAAAAGGAUUUGCAAGAUUUACAAGCUCAAUUGGUAGAAGAAAAUCAAUCGAAACUGAGGUUACAAAUGGAGCUUGACUCGAAGGAUUCAGAGAUAGAAACGCUGCAAAUGAAGAUCGCGUCGUUGAAUUCGGAAACUGCUAGUGUUUCAUCCGUAGAGAAUGACGGGGAAGAUUCUGUUUUAUCGGAACACGGUACGUUGAGAUUGGAAGGCUGGUUAAAUGUGCCAAAUAAACAAAACAUUAAAAGGCACGGGUGGAAGAAGCAAUACGUCGUUGUCUCUUCGAAGAAGAUAAUAUUUUACAAUAGCGAAAACGAUAAAUUAAAUGCCGAUCCAGUUUUAAUAUUGGAUCUAAAUAAAGUCUUCCACGUUAGAUCUGUUACUCAGGGUGAUGUCAUCCGAGCCGAUGCCAAAGAUAUUCCGAGAAUUUUCCAGUUAUUGUAUGCGGGUGAAGGUGAAGCAAGGCGUCCUGGCGACGAAGGAAACACACUGCCCGGAGUAGAACUGCCACAACUAACGGAUAAACCAGGCACACAAUCGUUAAAAGGCCACGAAUUUGUUUCAAUAUCGUAUCACAUGCCGACAACUUGUGAGGUAUGCUCGAAACAACUGUGGCAUAUGUUUCGACCGCCACCAGCUCUCGAGUGUCGAAGGUGUCGCAUAAAAGUGCAUAAAGAGCAUUUGGACAAGAAGGAAGAUGCCAUAGCGCCGUGUAAAUUGCACUAUGAUCCAAAUAGCGCCCGUGAACUAUUAAUUCUGGCUGGUAGUCCUGAUGAGCAGAAGUACUGGGUCACAAGACUGUCUAGACGUGUACAAAAAUGUGGCUACAAGGCGAACUCGCACGUCGAUGGCACGGGGCAGCGUGUCUCGCCAAGGUAGCGUAGCCGUGCGAAUCAACGUAACCGGAGACUAAGUAGCUCUCUUGUAUUGUGGCAUCGCAUGAUUGGGUGUAGCGAGGGAGUCUACGAGAUCUACCUUGAAGCCAUAUUUAUCGGUGCAACAACGAUCCGCCACUCUGCCAGCAAAUGCCAGCAUGGGCAAGUGACCUUAGCUAGCAUCGACAAUACCUGGUUGGAAUUCGUUACUUCGACAUCCUUCCUAACGAUCAGUUGAGAGAGUACAUUAGAUUAGUUGCUCGAUCACAUCGGUACGAUCGAGAUGUAAGUGCGUGGAUACUUUGCGGAGUUCCAGUAACGUCGACAAACCUUGAACUUAAAUUUCGUAUGUCUCAACCCUCUAAUGUACGAAUUUUAUUUUAUCUUCCAGAGAACAGGUUAUUUCUUGGUUAUUUAUAUAAUCAUGAUUCAAUCUAACAACAAGUGGCCGAAUAUGCAGAGUUAUUAGAUGUCUCUAACAUAAACCUCAUUGAAUUUUACAUUGUACAAUGGAGGGUUAAAGACAUCUAGUCCAAUUUGAAUUAGAAGAGUACUCGUAUCGAUUGUUGUCCGCAGCUAGUUUGUUAGUCGCAUCGUACACGAAUUUUAUCUAUAGGAUGUUCGUAUUAUUAUAAUUAGAUAGGCCACCUAGGAACUAUUUUCGCUACAUCGUUUGGUUAUUCUGUCAUUCAUGGUGAAAAAGUGAGAGUUGUCAUUGGUGUUAUGUACGAUUAGAGAAGUGACCUUGAGCAACUGAUCGAGUGUGACGGCAUUUAGUAUCCAGGAUUUUUUAUAAGCGAUAUAAAACGAAAAUCCAAGGGAAAAGUUUUCGUUAUUCUUUGUAGGGAAUGCGUUGGUUUAAAUCAAUCUUCAAAAUUAGCAGUAAAUUUCAAUCAUGACGGUGACCUUAUAGCGGCAUAUGUCAUUGAAUUCAUCUUGACAGCCGCUUUCAAAUAACAUGAGGAAAGACGGAGCUUUCCAUUAAACAAAAUUAUUCAGAUCGCCUUCAUAAUUCGUAAUUUAUUAUCAGCUCUGAAAGUUGACUUAAAUCCUUAUCUUACUGUUUAAUUUCUAAGUGUGCGUGCCAUAAUCAGGCGCUGAAUCUUUUCACGCGCCAGUACAAACGUCCAAUUUGCCUUUGCUAAUCGAUUAGAAGAAUAUAGGAAAUGCGACAGAGCAAGUUUGAAAAAUAAUUCUCUUAAAGAACAUGAAAUAUUAAGCAAUAAUGUAGAGUAUAAUUACUUGUACUACGAGUAUGACUUGUCUUUUCGGCCUCUUAUACGGACCACAUGUCUGACUCUUGAAAUUGUCAGACAAGAGAUUGUGUCAGUGACUCUCAACCUUUUCAAGCUCACGGCAUAGUUUAGAAGAUUUUUAAUAUUUUUAGGAUCACGGUACUGUUUAGAAAAGGAGACUAGACACAGGCAUUAAUUGUGAACAAUUAUAGCAAUAUAAUAAUGCUUCAUGUUCAUUUAGUACAAGUGAUAAAUGUUUUAAUAAUCUUUAUCAUGCCAAUUCAAUAUUUAAACGUAUUACAUAUCCUAUGCUUUUUAAACAGGAAGGAUAAAAAGCGUUGAAAUAUUAAUUUGGCAUGAUGAAAACUAUUAAAAUAACCAUUAAUCGUAGUAACAAUUUAAGCAAACUAAAACAUUUGCAAAUGCUAAGCCAUCCUAUUGUUUAUAAAAAAAAAUACCAAAAUACGUAGAUCGCAGAUAGUUCAUUAUUCACUGAAUAAUGCCACUGUCGUGAAUCAUUGUUUGCUCCUUUACUAUAUACAUCAAAAAUUAAGAGAUUAAUACAUAGCUAUAGGAGUAUAUAUAUAAUCGGACCCCGAUUGCAAAAAAUAGCGAAAGCUUUUUCUCUUGCUUUUUCUUUUUUCUUAACAAUUGUUUCCAUAGAAACGCGUACCGACAUUUAUGAGAGUGCUGAUAAUAUGAACAUCCGGUAUACGAUAUAGAAACUCGAUCGAUAUAAGAUGUUGUAAAAGUUAGGAAGGAAGUUAGGCGAUUUUAACGAGCGGAAGCGUGCAGCUGUUAUUUACAAGUCGUUGAUAAUAAUAUUUACAAACGAGCAUAGGGGUCGUAAUAAAUUAAGAACGUGGCCCGUGUUCCUCGGACUUGCCGGACUGCACGUAUAAUCGCGUGUUUGUCGAUAAUCCGCUAGCGUUCCCAGGAUCACCGUGUUGUUUUAUAAUUGUCAUUUUUCCAUGAGAGGAUGGGUCGAGUUUUUAUAGUGAUUUUUUUCGUAGACGCUUAAAUAUGAUUUUCCCUUUGUACAUAUACAUUCGCAACAACUGUUUUCACUCGAUAGUGGCUCGUUCGUUAUUCCUGAAACGAUUCCAUAGAAAGGACGGACUUUUUAAUCCUUUGGGUGCUUCGUGAACUGUUACGAGCGUUCUGUCGAUAACCUGCGGCCUGUGGACGCCUACAAGCGUUCUGCAAGCGAACGUCGAGACAUGCUCUUUUUGGCAGUAUUUUUGAGUAGAGACAUGAGUUACAGCAAUGUGGUGAUCGGCGUCUUCACCAAAAAUACUCCUGUAGGCAAAUUUCACAUAACUCUGAAGACAAGUCUGGAACGAUUCCUUGCAGUCGUUUAAACUCUAGACAACCAGCAUUGACAGGGUUACAGAGAAACGUCGAUCGCGCUCCAAUGGUUUGCUCGGUUGACGGUUAUUUGAACGCGCGCUUUGGAAACACCUAAUAUUGUGUAUUUACUACGCCAGAUCGAUAGUAUUAUUAUUUUUAUACGUUUCAAGAUUAAAGUAUGUAAAGUGUCGCGUUGAGAGGGUCGACCCUACUGGGAGCUGGUAAUGCGUCGAUCGGUGUAAGCGUAGAACGCCGAACAUUGAAAGUAUUUUACCGUGAAUUUACUAAUGGGAGAUAUUAAUCGAGCUUCGAAACUCUCGGGAGUUUGAAAUUCCUUUGAUACACUCGGAACCGUCCGAACAAAGAAACUCUUUGUAGUUGAUAGUAACAUUUUAUCUGCUGUGAAUUUAUUUAUAGGUUUUUCAGAUCCAGUAAUUAUCUGCUGAAAUUUAUUAAUUGUAUAUUUGGGUCCUUUCAAGGGUUAAAUGACACCAGAUACGUGAAUAACCCAGAAUAACUCGGUAGAUAGGUCUGAGUCCCUGUUUGUUUCCAAAAAUUAAGCAUUGUAAGUAGACAACCAACAACACAGUCAAGAAAUUCCAAGAGGUAAUCAUUGGAAUUAAAAAGCCUGUACAUAGGCUCUCCGUGGAUAAAGUUUCGAUAUCAAUUAUGAAGAACCUGGUUGUGAAGGCCUAAAAUAUCUAAAAGAAACUUUUGUCUACGUACUUUCACACUUUUAGGCAAUUCUUUACUUUCUUUCCAUUUCUUCCACGCUUUUAAAUUCCUUCUCUUUUCGAGCGUAUUAUGUUUGCCACUUAGAAGACUUUCAGAAUGUUCGCAGGCUCGACGGGUUUGUUAAUUUUGUACAUUGUAAAUCUUUGUCCAUCAUAUUGCCAUGUUAUUCGUAGAACGCAACCGCGUGACGGGACGCGAAGAUAAUGGAUGGGUCGUAGAAUGGUGAACGCUAAAGGAACAGUGCCACGAACGAGCUUGAUUGUAUAGUAGAGAUAAUAUUUACAGUUGUAACUUAAGAAUUUUUAAUACGAUGUACGAUAUUCGCUAUUAUCUUGGAAAGUGGAAACGCGCAUAAUCGAGAGGCUUAGGGUGUUUUGUUGUCGGUGCCGAGUGAGUUUCGCGAUCGUUAAUGGCAUUGGAUUAAAAAAAAAAAAAAAAUAAUAAAAAAAAAGAAGAAGUAAAGGAAAAGCAAAUUGUAACGAGCGUAGAGAACGUAUUACUAAUUCGUCGUCGCCGCUUGUGUUCUUACCAUGGUACCUCAGGCGACGUUGUAGACCACGUUUGCUAUGGGACGAGCGGUAAAAAUUAAUGAAAUUUCUCGUCGGCUGUUAACUCGUCCCCUCCGUGUAGGUCGCUACGUGUUCCCGCGUUAAACGUCUUUUUAAAUGGUGCUCCCCUCCGCAGUCUCUACCAUAGGGUGGGCCCAACGGGCCUCAGACUUACACGAAAAAUAUUGUUGUCAUAAUCAGUUCAUGAUUUAGCGAUACUAAAUUUUUGGUACAAAGAGCGAUAUCAUUGCGGUUUGUCCAGAAUUUGCUAGUCAGAUAGAAAAAUGGGCAUAAUUCUACUUACUUAAUAGGUAACGAAUGAGCGCGUCUGCAUAGGAAUUUAUUUGUAAUAUUUAUCUGGUUGAACCGUUACAAAGGCAAAGUUUCACUCGACCAAUGUGAAAUAUAAUCAUCAUUUGAUAGUUUAAAGCAAAGAUAGUUAAAGUAAAGAAUUCUUUAAAAAUUUUGAAGUACUAGCUUUUGAAAUUACAACUUUUAAGAUUAGCAAAAAUUUUAUCGAUGAGUUCAAGAAACAGAUAAGGGAUGAAACGCAACAGAACCGUUCUUUCUACCAAAAAUGUUGCUUAUUGCUUCCUCCAAAAGAUUCUGUUUUAACCUGGGGGCCUCGAUUCAGGUCACUUCUUUCCUUUGGUUCUCGAGGAAAGGGAGCUUCCGUAAGCUAAAAGGUAGCUCGUUACGCGCGUGACGUCGUAUUCGUUGGUUUAAUAGACAAGUUGCGAGAGCUAGAUGCACGAAUCGAUCAUGAUUAAAUAGGAACACCAUUUCCACUACUGCCCCGUGCCUUCUUCCCCCCGUGUGGACUUUUCCCGGCGGCGGGCUGAAAAAUUAAAUUGACAAUGCGAGAUAACGAAAGAGACAGAAGCAAGAAGAAGCGAAAGAACUUGUUAGAGCAUAUUUUAUUAUUGUUUAGUUAUUUACAAUCUGUAUAUUAUUAAUUAAUAUUACGAUUAAAGUAUUUUGUAGAUAAUUAACGCGAGUCUAGACGUUUCCACCAUCGCCGAAUUGAUGAAUUGAAUGUUACGUCGUCGGAUACCACAGAUCUCGCGAUGGUCUCUUCUAUCCGACGAUCCUCUCCUGCACGAAGGGGCCUCGAUCGAUAUUUUAUCGUCUUUAUAUAUUUAUAAUGCUAACGGUAAGACAAUACACAAAACAGAGCCCAACGCUCGACUGCCAUUUUUCUUUCCUUUUUUCAUUUUAUUUUUUAAUGCAACGAACGCACCCAUCCCGAGGACCUGUUACAGAUUAUUGUACAAGUACAAAAGGCCUCAUGCCAGACAUGUCAAACUCAUUUUGACCCUAGUGAUUAAUUUUUCAUCUUGACACCGUGUACAAUUAAUUUACGAGAGUCGAAAGUAAACGUUAGAUAUGAAGAUGCUCGUUAAUAAAUGAAAAUGAGUUGUAUAGCGUCGGGGCGUUUAUUACCUUAACGUUUCGGGCUUCGAUAAGUUUGAAGAAACCAUUUAGGUAAUUUGUUUAUAGAUAUUUAAGUCGGAAUUCUUUGAAAGAUUUUUUUUUAGUUGUAACAUAAGUUAUUACACAACAUCACAAGCAAUGUAGAAAUGAAAAGAAAAUAAUUCCUAUAAAACUAAAUAUUUCUAACUUUUUAUUUUAAAAAUAUGGAAGUAUAUUAAAAAGACAAUUUAAAAACACUUGGUAUCGUUUCUUAGUCACCGAAGCACCAAAGUUUGGUAAACAAUUUUGAACUGAUUCUUUUCAAAAUUAGAGGAAGAGUUUAGAAUUUAUUUUGCUGGUCUGUACUGCGGGAACAUGCAUUUCAUGUGAAUAUAUAUUUUAAAACGUAAGUAUGUAGUAUAUCCAAAUGGCAAAAUAUGUGUUUCACAAUGGAUAAUAAAAAUUGAACUAUUUAAUAAAAGAAAUUAUUAUAAAAUUCUGAAUUGUAAUUAAAUAAUACAAUUAAUGAAUUGUAUGUUUCACAAUGGACAAUUAACGAUACAAUAGAAGAAAUGUUACUAAUAAAUUGCUUGUUGGUUUCA